GUGAGUCAUCGAGUCUUUGAACGCAUAUGGCACCUUCUGGCCCUGCUGGAAGGUAUGCCUGUUUGAGAAUCAUACAUCCAUUGACCAUCUAUGGUGAUCACGUUCACGUCACACCCGUGUCCAUGCAUGUGAUUCAUCGAUGGUGGUCGACAUGGGCCUUCAGCACUGAUCGCCUCGAAUUGUGCAUGGUCGUCGUGAUAGAAAGAGGGAGUGGCACAUGGCAACAAUGGCUGUUGCUUCGUGACGACGGUCCACUUUACCCCCAUUCAUGAUCUCAAAUCAGGCAAGACUACCCGCUGAACUUAAGCAUAUCAAUAAGGCGAGG
rnacentral:rRNA from 1 species